rnacentral:rRNA from 1 species
AGCGAACGCUGGCGGCAGGCCUAACACAUGCAAGUCGAACGGCUCUUCGGAGCAGUGGCGGACGGGUGAGUAACGCGUGGGAACGUGCCCUUUGGUACGGAACAACUGAGGGAAACUUCAGCUAAUACCGUAUGUGCCCUACGGGGGAAAGAUUUAUCGCCAUUGGAGCGGCCCGCGUUGGAUUAGGUAGUUGGUGGGGUAAAGGCCCACCAAGCCUGCGGUCCAUAGCUGGUCUGAGAGGAUGAUCAGCCACACUGGGACUGAGACACGGCCCAGACUCCUACGGGAGGCAGCAGUGGGGAAUCUUGCGCAAUGGGCGAAAGCCUGACGCAGCCAUGCCGCGUGAAUGAUGAAGGUCUUAGGAUUGUAAAAUUCUUUCACCGGGGAAGAUAAUGACGGUACCCGGAGAAGAAGCCCCGGCUAACUUCGUGCCAGCCGCCGCGGUAAAAC